rnacentral:rRNA from 1 species
UACGGAGGGGGCUAGCGUUGUUCGGAAUUACUGGGCGUAAAGCGCACGUAGGCGGCUUUGUAAGUUAGAGGUGAAAGCCCGGGGCUCAACUCCGGAAUUGCCUUUAAGACUGCAUCGCUCGAGUUGUGGAGAGGUAAGUGGAAUUCCGAGUGUAGAGGUGAAAUUCGUAGAUAUUCGGAAGAACACCAGUGGCGAAGGCGACUUACUGGACACAUACUGACGCUGAGGUGCGAAAGCGUGGGGAGCAAACAGG